rnacentral:tRNA from 1 species
GGGUUGGUAACUCAGAGGAUCAGAGUUUAUGUUUCCGAACCAUAAAGUCAGGGGUUCAAAUCCCCUCCAACUCA